AUUGAACGCUGGCGGCAGGCCUAACACAUGCAAGUCGAACGGUAACAGGAAACAGCUUGCUGUUUCGCUGACGAGUGGCGGACGGGUGAGUAAUGUCUGGGAAACUGCCUGAUGGAGGGGGAUAACUACUGGAAACGGUAGCUAAUACCGCAUAACGUCGCAAGACCAAAGAGGGGGACCCUCGGGCCUCUUGCCAUCGGAUGUGCCCAGAUGGGAUUAGCUUGUUGGUGGGGUAACGGCUCACCAAGGCGACGAUCCCUAGCUGGUCUGAGAGGAUGACCAGCCACACUGGAACUGAGACACGGUCCAGACUCCUACGGGAGGCAGCAGUGGGGAAUAUUGCACAAUGGGCGCAAGCCUGAUGCAGCCAUGCCGCGUGUAUGAAGAAGGCCUUCGGGUUGUAAAGUACUUUCAGCGGGGAGGAAGGGAGUAAAGUUAGUACCUUGGCUCAUUGACGUUACCCGCAGAAGAAGCACCGGCUAACUCCGUG
rnacentral:rRNA from 1 species